GCCCCAGUAACGGCGAGUGAAGCGGCAACAGCUCAAAUUUGAAAUCUGGCCCCCGGGGUCCGAGUUGUAAUUUGCAGAGGAUGCUUUGGGCGAGGUUCCUUCCGAGUUCCCUGGAACGGGACGCCACAGAGGGUGAGAGCCCCGUCUGGUCGGACACCGAGCCCGUGUAAAGCUCCUUCGACGAGUCGAGUAGUUUGGGAAUGCUGCUCAAAAUGGGAGGUAUAUGUCUUCUAAAGCUAAAUAUUGGCCAGAGACCGAUAGCGCACAAGUAGAGUGAUCGAAAGAUGAAAAGCACUUUGAAAAGAGGGUUAAAAAGUACGUGAAAUUGUUGAAAGGGAAGCGCCUAUGACCAGACUUGCGCCCGGUGAAUCAUCCAGCGUUCUCGCUGGUGCACUUCGCCGGGCACAGGCCAGCAUCAGUUUGGCGCGGGGGACAAAGGCUUCGGGAAUGUGGCUCCCUCGGGAGUGUUAUAGCCCGCUGCGUAAUACCCUGCGCCGGACUGAGGUACGCGCAUCGCAAGGAUGCUGGCGUAAUGGUCAUCAGCGACCCGUCUUGAAACACGGACCAAGGAGUCGUCUUCGUAUGCGAGUGUUCGGGUGUUAAACCCCUACGCGGAAUGAAAGUGAACGUAGGUGAGAGCUUCGGCGCAUCAUCGACCGAUCCUGAUGUUCUCGGAUGGAUUUGAGUAAGAGCAUACGGGGCCGGACCCGAAAGAAGGUGAACUAUGCCUGUAUAGGGUGAAGCCAGAGGAAACUCUGGUGGAGGCUCGCAGCGGUUCUGACGUGCGAAUCGAUCGUCAAAUAUGGGCAUGGGGGCGAAAG
rnacentral:rRNA from 1 species